AAAAAAUUACAAUCACACACACAUCUCCUUUUUUAUUAUUUAUCACUUUCUCUUUUCUUUUCUUUUUCUUUUACAUCUACAUUUACAUAAUACAAAUAAAAAAUUCAAAAUCAAAUAAAAAAUUACAUCAAACAAAUUUUAAAUUACAAAACAGCCCCUAAACAAUCUAGAAAUAACAGGGAUAGCCUUCAGCAGCCGGAACAGUGUUCAACAAAUUUUCUGGGCGCAGGAACAGUGACGGCGCUGUGAAAAACAACCCGAAACAGGGGGGUCUGCAACGACCUCCUCCCCCUUUCUUUCCUCGCCGGCGCCGACCUGCAAUAACAACAGAAAACCCAACAAAGCAGUCGAUUUUAAUUUUUUCUUAGUUUUUUCAGAUCUGUUUUUUUUUCUUCUUCUCCAUAUCUGCUUCGGAUUUUGCUUUUUCUUGUCCGAUCUGUUCUUGCUUCUUCUUCUCCGGUGGUAGAUCGGGCGUGGAGGAGGAGAGUGGCUCACCGGUUCUGCCUUGCUUGGGCUGCUGGAUCCGGAGUCGGGUUUCGUUGCACGCGCCACCGACAGACUGCCCGUGUGGAUGGCUGGAUCGGACAGAACUGAGAUCGGUGGCUGCCGAUCUGUGGACGGCGCUGCUGGGUUUGCUGUUGUGGUCGAUCUGCGCCGAUGAAGGAAGCUUUGCUGCGCCUGUGCUGCGGGCUGGAAGGCGGUGAUCUCGGUGGCUGAGAGAAGCACCGCUGGGAGGGAGAAGGUCUGGUG
rnacentral:lncRNA from 1 species